AACGAACGCUGGCGGCAUGCCUAACACAUGCAAGUCGAACGAGACCUUCGGGUCUAGUGGCGCACGGGUGCGUAACGCGUGGGAACCUGCCCUUAGGUUCGGAAUAACUCCCCGAAAGGGGUGCUAAUACCGGAUAAUGUCCUCGGACCAAAGAUUUAUCGCCUUUGGAUGGGCCCGCGUUGGAUUAGCUAGUUGGUAGGGUAAAAGCCUACCAAGGCGACGAUCCAUAGCUGGUCUGAGAGGAUGAUCAGCCACACUGGGACUGAGACACGGCCCAGACUCCUACGGGAGGCAGCAGUGGGGAAUAUUGGACAAUGGGCGGAAGCCUGAUCCAGCAAUGCCGCGUGAGUGAUGAAGGCCUUAGAGUUGUAAAGCUCUUUUACCCGGGAUGAUAAUGACGGUACCGGGAGAAUAAGCUCCGGCUAACUCCGUG
rnacentral:rRNA from 1 species